AGAGUUUGAUCCUGGCUCAGGACGAACGCUGGCGGCGUGCUUAACACAUGCAAGUCGAACGGUAAGGCCCUUCGGGGUACACGAGUGGCGAACGGGUGAGUAACACGUGGGUAAUCUGCCCUGCACAUCGGGAUAAGCCUGGGAAACUGGGUCUAAUACCGAAUAGGACCACAGGACACAUGUCCUGUGGUGGAAAGCUUUUGCGGUGUGGGAUGGGCCCGCGGCCUAUCAGCUUGUUGGUGGGGUGAUGGCCUACCAAGGCGACGACGGGUAGCCGGCCUGAGAGGGUGUCCGGCCACACUGGGACUGAGAUACGGCCCAGACUCCUACGGGAGGCAGCAGUGGGGAAUAUUGCACAAUGGGCGAAAGCCUGAUGCAGCGACGCCGCGUGGGGGAUGACGGCCUUCGGGUUGUAAACCUCUUUCACCAUCGACGAAGGUCCGGGUUUUCUCGGGCUGACGGUAGGUGGAGAAGAAGCACCGGCCAACUACGUGCCAGCAGCCGCGGUAAUACGUAGGGUGCGAGCGUUGUCCGGAAUUACUGGGCGUAAAGAGCUCGUAGGUGGUUUGUCGCGUUGUUCGUGAAAUCUCACGGCUUAACUGUGAGCGUGCGGGCGAUACGGGCAGACUUGAGUACUGCAGGGGAGACUGGAAUUCCUGGUGUAGCGGUGGAAUGCGCAGAUAUCAGGAGGAACACCGGUGGCGAAGGCGGGUCUCUGGGCAGUAACUGACGCUGAGGAGCGAAAGCGUGGGGAGCGAACAGGAUUAGAUACCCUGGUAGUCCAA
rnacentral:rRNA from 1 species